UACGUAGGUGGCGAGCGUUGUCCGGAUUUACUGGGCGUAAAGAGCGCGCAGGCGGUCGUUCAAGUCGCGUGUGAAAGCCCCCGGCUCAACUGGGGAGGGUCACGCGAUACUGAUCGACUCGAAGGCAGGAGAGGGAAGUGGAAUUCCCGGUGUAGUGGUGAAAUGCGUAGAUAUCGGGAGGAACACCUGUGGCGAAAGCGGCGCACUGGACCACAACUGACGCUGAGGCGCGAAAGCUAGGGGAGCAAACAGG
rnacentral:rRNA from 1 species